rnacentral:rRNA from 1 species
AACGGCCGCGGUAUUUUGACCGUGCAAAGGUAGCAUAAUCAUUAGUCUCUUAAUAGGAGGCUGGAAUGAAAGGUUUGACGAAAUACUAUCUGUCUCAAUUUGAUUAUUUUGAAUUUUACUUUUGAGUUAAAAGGCUCAAAUUUUGUUGGAAGACGAGAAGACCCUAUAGAGCUUUACAUUUGUUUAGGGGGAUUUAUUUUUGUUUAAUGAUUUAAUUCUUUCUUUUUAUUUGUUUUGUUGGGGUGACAAGAAAUAUAUAUUUAACUUUUUUAUGAAUAAAACAUUUAUUUAUGGUUAUUAGAUCCAUUUUUAUUGAUUAUUAGAUUAAGUUACCUUAGGGAUAACAGCGUAAUCUUCUUUUGAAGUUCAAAUUUACAAGAAGGGUUGCGACCUCGAUGUUGGAUUAAGAUUAUAUUCAGGUGCAGUAGCUUGAUUGGUAGGUCUGUUCGAC